UGCCUGCUCACGGGAGAGAGUAGCGAAAGCUGCCGCCGAAGGGGAAAUCGCCCGAAAUCUCUCAGGCAAAAGAACCGUAGCAGGCC
rnacentral:ncRNA from 1 species